rnacentral:rRNA from 1 species
UACAGAGGUCCCAAGCGUUAGGCGGAAUCACUGGGCUUAAAGCGUGUGUAGGCGGAUGCCUAAGUACCUUGUGAAAUCCCACGGCUUAACCGUGGAACUGCUUGGUAUACUGGGUGUCUUGAGCCAUCUAGGGGCCUGCGGAACAAACGGUGGAGCGGUGAAAUGCGUAGAUAUCGUUGGAACGCCAACGGUGAAACAGCAGGCUGGGAUG